UACACCAUCUAGAUGAAGAGCGACUUUAACAGGCCUGGAGGAAGAUUCAAUCAGUCCAUCAAUCAGUGGUUCUCCAGGAAUGGGAUUAAACAGGAAUGAGGAGGAUGAAGAUGGGAAACGAAGAACUGUAUAUCUGGAAAGCUGGAGUCAUCUCCUCCUUGGAUCACUCUCAGCCCUGCACCCAACAGACAGCCCAGCUUAACCUGGCCCCAAAAGCUGCUGCCUCGGACCAUCUCCCACUCGGCUGCCAAGCCUCGCGUCGAGCCUCAGAAGAGCCCGGCACCUACACAACCUUGGGCCCAGAGGGGCCUCCAAAAAGAGACUGUGUUAUGGAGACCCUUCGGUUUAGUUUCCCUGGGUGCGAGAGCCAAGGAGGAAGAAAACGGUUUUAUUUGGCAGAAUAAACCGCAAGGUAAACAGGAGGAAAGACGGAGCGUGUUCCCCAAUUAAACAAGAAUGCAGAACCAGGGAGACUGCGUGGCUGAACUUUUCCAUUGGCUCCGACAUCACACGGAUGUGAGGUGAGGCUCUACAGCCUGACCUGGCCCUUUGGUUUCCGGCAUGGGGAGAGCAGAGCUCUCCGAUGGUUCCGGGGGGCCACCAGUUCCCCCGGAUUAAAGAGUGAAACAAACCCAUUACAUCGACACAAGCCAACAGGACUUCGCCAUCCUCGACGAUGAGAUGGGAAAACUGAAGCUCAGAGAAAACCAGCAGGCUACUAAGCUUAGUGCAACUGAACCUCACAGGACCAGUCCUGCGAAAUGAAAAAAAAAUGAGCCUUUGGAGCAUGAAGUAAGCAGACUGAAGAAACCCCUUGGAUAGGUGAAGGAGAAGAAGCCCACGGACCCUUGCCAUCUAUCCCGAAUGCUGUUCUCAAACACCCCCGUCCCGCUGAACGACCCUGAGUAUCGGCAGGAUGCAGAUAAAACCCCUUG